rnacentral:lncRNA from 1 species
GGCAGUCACAGGCCUCACCCCUCUCCCACACAGCCCUCAGUCCUAAAGGCUGGUCUCACUCCCAUCCUGCCACGCAACAGCACAGGGUCUAUUUCGAGACAGCCAGUGACCAGGGCUGAGAACUUGCCCCAGACCACCAGCCUCCUCACUGAGAAAGCAAGCAGAAUCACAGUUUUUUGGAAUCUCAGGGAGCCUUCAGCGGCAAUCCAGUUCCUUCAAAGGGUCUGUGGAUUCUCUCAGUUUUCAUGAAACCAGCCAAGGCAAUGUGAAGGAUUCCAAGAGAGGCAAUAUGGAUGAAACCAUUUAUUAGAUUUAUAAGAGCUGAAGGAAAGUGGUAAAGCUAUCCAUCUUCUAUACUUUAUUGAGAACAGGACCAAUGACUCAGACUAUCAGGACAGUAUCUCCAAGACAGAAUUGAAAUCCUAAAGUAAGCAGAGAAUAAGUGCAUACAUUUUAGGAGAAGAGGGAUCAAAGGCAGAAGGAAGAAAUGCACGGGUGUCAGCUGUGACCCUCGAAGGAAAGGGAUCACCCUCUUUCUGACCCUAUACCACCUUCAGCAGGGAUGAAGGCAGUCAGAGAAAACUUAGUUAAAAAAUUUCUAAACUGCUUUGCUGAUUUGAUCUGGGGCCCUGGAGUGCCAACAUCCUGUGAUAGCGGCUGAUUGUUGAUGCCUGGGAGGAUACAGCAGUGACGAUCCAAAUUUACAAGACUCAACAUGGUUUUCAAAACUUCCUUUUAAAAAAGAUGUUCCUGAGUUCUGGAAUCUGAACAAAAUAUGUCUGGUUAUUAUAUAAUUCUAAUGGUCCUUGUGGAUGCUACCAUUAGAGUUCAGUUAGUGUCUCAUCUAUCACUGUAAUAUUUGUAUUGUAACACUAAUCGUGGCAAAGUAUGAUUUGAUAAAUGCUCAUUCUCAAAUCUUUUA